rnacentral:tRNA from 1 species
GCAUCCUUAGCUUAAAUGGACAAAGCCUCGGUCUUCUAAACCGUAUGAUACGGGUUCAAGUCCUGUAGGAUGUA